UUCCGUCGUCGCUUCGUCCUCCGGUCGCCAAGACGAAGAGAUUCACCUCAUCCUCUCACCAUGCAGCCAUGACUUCUUCCUCCUCUCCAUCCAUCUGCUCAACGACAAGCUGAGAUCCGGUCUUCUUCCCUGCUAUAGUUGUACUUGACAGCUCAUCCGACGAGGAGGUUAAAGCAAGGAAAGUAUCCACUAGUAUGAAGGAUGUUGGAGACAAACACAACAUCAGUGUUGCUGGAAGAGAACGCCCGUAAGAUAAAGUCGGAUGAUGUGGGAUGGGAGUAUGGGAGUCUAGCCGAUCUUUCCAACAAGGACAAAGUGAAGUGUUUGUUUUGUAACCAUGUGAUCAUUGGAGGUGUUUAUCGUCACAAGCAGCAUGUGGCUCACGUUGAUAAUUUUGUGGCUAAAUGCAAGAAAAGCUCGCAGGAAGCUAAAGAUAGGUGCAAGAAAUCUCUUGAGGAGGCAUCUAAGAAGAGGAGGGAAAAGACUUCCCGUGAGCUAGAGCUCAGAGAAGGCGUGAAUAUUUCUCGUGUUGGAGAUGCUUAAGUUACUUGUAUUGGAAGCGCUGAGCCACACAAGAUAGGUCCCAUUGACAGUGGACACGUCCUAUUGA